AGCUUUGCGCAGUGGCAGUAUUGUAGCUGAUGAGGUUUGCCUGAGGCACGAUUAUUUGCUUACUGAAAACUUUUCCCGAGGGCAGGCACGGUAGUGUAGCGAUUAGUGUAACACUGUUACAGU